AAGUCGUAACAAGGUAACCGUAGGUGAACCUGCGGUUGGAUCAUUAAAAAAAAAUUGAAGCUUCAACCCUUUCAAGGGUAGAAGCGUCAGUGCUCCUCUAACAAGGAGCUUGACUACUCCAAUUUUGUGAACUUGCAACCAAAAAAUGUUUUGAUAGUGGUGAAAGAUUUGGGCAUUACCAGCCCAAGUUUUUCCCUUCUUGAAAAAAUUGUUAACCCUGAAGAAAUAACUUGUCUUUACCGUUUUUUAUAAAUAAAAAUUAAUAAACAACUUUUGACAACGGAUCUCUAGGCUCUC
rnacentral:misc_RNA from 1 species